GGGACCUGAACUGAAUGGUAGGUGGUUCGUUCCGCGGCCAGAGUGAACGGCGUCCGGCCGAGCGGGGGACACAACGCAGUGAUGAUGUCCAACCCUCAGGUGUCUCUGGAUGAGGCAAGACAGUGUCUCAGGGGCCCCGGGAGGCAAAACCUCUGAGCUCGAGAACGUCAGCAGGACCCGGGGAGCCCCCUCCAGCCACCUGCUCGGUUUCCAGCUCCUGGCAACCAAGCGCCCAUGGAAGCUUCCAGGUGCCCGAGAUGUGCUCUGAGGCCAGCCCUUGUUUGCAGCUGUGUGGCUGCCAGCUGCCAGGUGCACCCAGACCAUUCUUCUUCCAGACUCUGCCUCUCUGGAUGGCCCAGCAAAGGUCUUAAGAAAAAAAAUCAGUUCAUAGAAAGACUUCCUGCACCUGGAAAAGACAACUCUAAGCUUUCUUUCGAGACACUGGCAUGAAAUAUCCCCUCAUCCAGGUUCUGCUUGGUUUGUGUUUUGUUUUCACAAGACACCUGAGAAAUUCCUGGACCAUCUUGCUAUCUGACUUUCUGGACAUUUAGAGGUGCUUGGAGUGUUGACAACACCUGCCUACAGUAGGCUUGUUCUAUCAUAAAGUUUGCAAAAUCUUCCUCUAAUUCCAAUUUUAUUAAAGGAGUACAGGUGGCAGUUGCUAUCAUUGUUCUGUUAUUUGUUAUUUUUUUCCUCUCUGCCUUUGCGGACUUUCACUGAAGAUUAAAAGUAUGCCUUUACCACAGGGUGGCAGGCUUGGUGACUACAAAGGCAUAUUUUUUGCAUAUUCAUUCCUGGCCAGGAAGGACUAUAUUUUGGGUUGUGCAACCUCAGAAGACCAGUCUGUAUUCAUUUCCCUGGAAAUCUUUCUCUACUUUACAUUUUUUUUUCCCAGCAUCUGAUUAUGUCCUUUCCAAUGCCCCACAAUGUUACUUCUUCCUACUUCUUAUGGUCCUCUUAGGGGAACACAACAGAAAUGCUGGGGCUGAACUGUGUACGAGAAGAGGAAAAUUGAAGUGUACAGUCCCAGAAGAGACUUGCUGCCACUGCUCUGACCCUAGCACUUAAUGAGUAGGGGAACAGUCUGAUAGCUGUCCAGAGAGGCUGUGUUUAGCAGCGUGAGGCUGAGGAC
rnacentral:lncRNA from 1 species